CACUAGCUUGCCCAGAGUUACUCAGCUAAUAAGCAGCUGAGCUGGGACUCCCACUCAGCAAUGCAGCUCCAGGCCUGGCUGCUAACCCCUUCUUCCUUCUUGGCAGCUGCCUUCACAGAGGAAUUCAAGAGCCAAAAGAAGUCCAACAAUGCCAGCAAAACCAGUAACACCAAGUCUUGGAAAAAAUCCGGGAGGUGCAUUUUGGAGAUAUUCAUAGCUGAAACCCCCACUGAACCAAGCUCUGCAUCUUGGGCUUUGUUUCCACAGAAGUGAAAACAGCCACCGUCAAAAAGAGCAGCAGUUGAAGGGCAAGUGUCUGCCAGCACUAUCUCUUGGGAAUGGAGAGAAAGAGCUGCCAAAACAGGAGAUACGUCUGACAUCCAGACAGCGUUAGCCGACUGGUUCCCAAGUAGGAGUUGGCUGUCCACAGAGAUGCCCUGUGUAGGUGAUAUGAAUCACAAAUACGCUCUGCCUUGAUUAAUCUCUAACAGUCAGAAAGUCGAAAGCUUCUUGUCAUCAUGUUCAAGCUUAGGAGUUUGGUUUUCCGUGGGCAGCUGGCUCUAGGAGGAUAUCACACGACUGUCUCAGGGUCCCCGAGGGAUGUUGUAAAAGCUGUCUGUAUGUGGGUCCCUGAAUUUGAGGUCGUGGGUGUGGAAGGUGAUGCACCAGGGAGUUGGCUCUUAGCUUACUGGGUCAGAUGUUUCUGAGAACCUUCUUCACCAGAGUUUACAGUUCAGUUUCAGAGGUGAAUGAGCCGUUUCAGAUGAUCAAAAAGAUAUGCUCUCUCAUAUCUCCCAGAGAAUAAUCUUUCCUUCCUCAGUUACUUUGAAACUGAAGUUUGCUGCCAGCGUAGGAGCCAAUCCAUUAUAUCAUAAUCAAUGACAUGAAUGUUUUGCUCAAGUUCAG
rnacentral:lncRNA from 1 species